CUAAUCUGGGCAGCAAUGUGUGUGAAGGGAGACUGCUGAGUGAUCUGCGGUUCUGACCAGAUGGUUUAGUGUUUCACAGACUGAAGACCCACUGUAUUUUAUCCCCCUAUGAUCCCUUCGCACUUUGGACUAAUCUAACAGCUGAUUUUGUUGGAACCCAGUUCACUGAAUAAGAUGGAUAUAACCAUCCCAGUAGUGGCUCCAGUCCACCAAAGAAUGCUAAGGCGAUUUUUACCUCUGAAUCCUUUGGAAUUGUCAAGCCGUUUUACUGCAGCCAAGGGAAGGAAAACUGGGGCCACAUGUUCUUGAAUGCCGUCUGAUUGCGCAGGGGUGACCUGGGGAUGACUUAUUAUGUUAUCAUUCUGGAGUUUUGCCAGAUAACUCCCCUUUCAUCCAGAAUCCCACAAAUACAAAGAUCUGUGAAAAUUAUGGAAAUGUUAGGGAUCUGCUCUUAAGGCCUACAUUUCUAAGUAAAUUUUUAAUGUUUGGGGUUUUUUUGUGAAUCAAAUGUCCAUGCACAUAUUUUCUAUCAGUUCAUUUCCAUAUUUGAAUAAAGGUGAUC